CAGCCGCCGCGGGAAUACAGAGGGUGCGAGCGUUAAUCGGAUUUACUGGGCGUAAAGCGUGCGUAGGCGGCUUCUUAAGUCGGAUGUGAAAUCCCUGAGCUUAACUUAGGAAUUGCAUUCGAUACUGGGAAGCUAGAGUAUGGGAGAGGAUGGUAGAAUUCCAGGUGUAGCGGUGAAAUGCGUAGAGAUCUGGAGGAAUACCGAUGGCGAAGGCAGCCAUCUGGCCUAAUACUGACGCUGAGGUACGAAAGCAUGGGGAGCAAACAGGAUUAGAGACCCCCGUAGUCCCUGUCUCUUAUAC
rnacentral:rRNA from 1 species